GAGUAACACGUGAGUAACCUGCCCUUGACUUUGGGAGUAACUUCAGGAAACUGGGGCUAAUACCGGAUAGGAGCUCCUGCUGCAUGGUGGGGGUUGGAAAGUUUCGGCGGUUGGGGGUGGACUCGCGGCUUAUCAGCUUGUUGGUGGGGUAGUGGCUUACCAAGGCUUUGACGGGUAGCCGGCCUGAGAGGGUGACCGGCUACAUUGGGACUGAGAUACGGCCCAG
rnacentral:rRNA from 1 species